rnacentral:piRNA from 1 species
UAUGAGUCAGUGUUGUGCCUUCAGCA